rnacentral:lncRNA from 1 species
GGUGCUACCACCCCCACCGCUCGGUUCGGUGCUGCGGCUGUCAGUGCCCAGCAGGGGCGGGGUCAGUGGAGCCCCGCGCGGGGGUCGGAGUAGGGAGGAUUGACGAGGUCGGCCAGCACCCAACCCUCCAGGAAAACAUGCUUGAUCCUGUCACAAACACAUAUAGCACACAUGGAACCACCAUAGGCCCUGCUGACAUGGUUUUUUGUGUUUUGGACAAUCUCAUAAGACUUCGGGUCUUAUAGCACGAACCCCUUGAAGUCUGCGUGGGUACACACCACAGUAGAUUUUGGUGCUUUCCCAGCCUUCUUGGUAUAAAGGAAGCAGAGGCCUGCUCACGUUCCUGAUCUUCUGACUUAGCGGCUUUCAAAACAUCUUUGAGUCUAAACAAAGGCUGUCGCAAAGUUCCUCGCUCAAGACAGAUCUCUCUCAAGGC